UACGUAGGGGGCAAGCGUUGUCCGGAUUUACUGGGUGUAAAGGGUGCGUAGGCGGCUUUGCAAGUCAGAAGUGAAAUCUAUGGGCUUAACCCAUAAACUGCUUUUGAAACUGCAGGGCUUGAGUGAAGUAGAGGUAGGCGGAAUUCCCGGUGUAGCGGUGAAAUGCGUAGAGAUCGGGAGGAACACCAGUAGCGAAGGCGGCCUACUGGGCUUUAACUGACGCUGAGGCACGAAAGCGUGGGUAGCAGACAGG
rnacentral:rRNA from 1 species